UACGUAGGGUGCGAGCGUUGUCCGGAAUUAUUGGGCGUAAAGGGCUCGUAGGCGGUUUGUCGCGUCGGGAGUGAAAACCUUGGGCUUAACUCAGGGCUUGCUUUCGAUACGGGCAGACUAGAGGUAUGCAGGGGAGAACGGAAUUGCUGGUGUAGCGGUGAAAUGCGCAGAUAUCAGGAGGAACACCGGUGGCGAAGGCGGUUCUCUGGGCAUUACCUGACGCUGAGGAGCGAAAGUGUGGGGAGCGAACAGG
rnacentral:rRNA from 1 species